rnacentral:rRNA from 1 species
UACGUAGGGUGCAAGCGUUAAUCGGAAUUACUGGGCGUAAAGCGUGCGCAGGCGGUUGUGUAAGAACAGAUGUGAAAUCCCCGGGCUCAACCUGGGAACUGCAUUUGUGACUGCACAGCUGGAGUGCGGCAGAGGGGGAUGGAAUUCCGCGUGUAGCAGUGAAAUGCGUAGAUAUGCGGAGGAACACCGAUGGCGAAGGCAAUCCCCUGGGCCUGCACUGACGCUCAUGCACGAAAGCGUGGGGAGCAAACAGA